rnacentral:lncRNA from 1 species
AGUUCCAUUUUGACCUUCCAAUGAUAGAAAUUGUUACUUCUAAACUUCUCAAUCACUCUCAAACCUUCACCUUCACUUCAAGCCAUGUCUUAGAAGAGGUCUAUCAAAAAUUAUCAAGAAAAGGAGUCUCUAUGUGCUUAAAAUCACCAAAACAAUUGUGUAUUAGCAAAAUCUCAAAAUGCCCUCUUAUGAACAAAUGAAUGUUUCUUCACUCCAAACACUCUCAAAUCAACUUUUGAAGCUUCUAACAAGUAUGUGAACUCCAAUCAACCUCACCAUCUAGUUCUUCGACUCAUAAAACUCAUUUUCUAACUACAACACCAAAGAUACUAUUAAGGUCUUUGUAUAAGGUCUUAAUCACUUAAUCCUAGAAGUUAAGAACCUUCAAACUGAAAUUAGAGAUCUAUAAGGCCCAAAUCAAAACCUCCACAAGUCAAAACACAAGAUUAUAUCAUACAAUCUCUAACAUCAGCAAACACCAUAAGAUCUAUUCCACACAAGAACAACAACCAACAAAUAACUUCAACUUACUUGAAUAACACAACAAAGUGUAUGUGGGCCCAUAACCUAUUAAAAAAACAUAAUAAGCAAGACACAAGUAAGUAGAAAACAGCAAGGUUAGACACCAAAGAAGUCUAGAAUGAGAUGUCUCUCACUUCCAACACCCUUUACUUAUAGGUAGAGGUUACAUCCAUUUUGGCUAUUGUUCAUCUUACUUUCAUUCAACUAAAUCCUAGAUUCGUCUUAACCUAGUAGCCACUUUAAAU